rnacentral:lncRNA from 1 species
UACUGGGCAAUGCCGAGGGAGAACAGAGUUUGAGUGCCCAUGAUAACAGAAUACAUGCUGUCAUGAAGGUAGAAGAUGCCUUCUGAGAAAAUAAAAAUGUAAAAGCUCCAGUAGAAAUUCAAAUCCUAGUGAAUAAAGCCAAAGAGACCUUGAAAUUAUCCAUCCACUGGCCCAUACUGUCUACCUGUAUUGGACUGACAAGCUUAUCCCUGAUGAUCAAGAGAAGCAGAGGAUCUAG